AACCCAUAAUGAGGGCACCUUCUCAAAAGAUCCUUAAAUCUCUAAGGUGCAUCAUAUAAUGUCUCAAGCUCCAUUUGAGCAAAAGAAGAGAUUUCAUUCCUCAACUU
rfam:Gossypium arboreum cultivar AKA8401 contig_13477_1, whole genome shotgun sequence.